UACAGAGGGUGCGAGCGUUAAUCGGAAUUACUGGGCGUAAAGCGUGUGUAGACGGUUAUUUAAGUCGGGUGUGAAAGCCCCGGGCUCAACCUGGGAAUUGCAUUCGAGACUGAAUAGCUAGGGUACGGUAGAGGGAAGCGGAAUUUCCGGUGUAGCGGUGAAAUGCGUAGAUAUCGGAAGGAACAUCAGUGGCGAAAGCGGCUUCCUGGACCAGUACCGACGUUCAGGCACGAAAGCGUGGGGAGCAAACAGG
rnacentral:rRNA from 1 species